AAAAUUUGGCGGUAUUUUAGUCUUUUCAGAGGAACCGGUUCUAUAAUUGAUAGUCCACGAUAAAAUUUACUUAUUUUAGAAAUUUAUAUAUCGUCGUAGUUUGAAUAUUUUUAUAGAAUUUUUAAUGUUCAAUAUUUUUUAUUAUAAAUAAAAUCAGAUCAAGGUGUAGUUUAUAGAUAAGUAGAAAUGGGUUACAGUUAUAUUAUUAUUGGAUAAAAUUUUUGUGAAAUUUUUUGAAAUUGGAUUUGAAAGUAAUUUAAUUAUUUUUAUUUAGAUGACUAAAGCUCUAAAAUAUGUACAUAUUGCCCGUCGCUUUUGUUUUAAGAUGAAAUAAGUCGUAACAAAGUAGAUUUACUGGAAAGUGAAUCUAGAAUA
rnacentral:rRNA from 1 species